CCUACGGGUGGCAGCAGUGAGGAAUAUUGGUCAAUGGACGAGAGUCUGAACCAGCCAAGUAGCGUGAAGGAUGACUGCCCUAUGGGUUGUAAACUUCUUUUAUAUGGGAGUAAAACGUUCCACGUGUGGGAUUUUGUAUGUACCAUAUGAAUAAGGAUCGGCUAACUCCGUGCCAGCAGCCGCGGUAAUACGGAGAAUCCGAGCGUUAUCCGGAUUUACUGGGUUUAAAGGGGGCGUAGGUGGAUAGUUAAGUCAGGUGUGAAGUUUUGCGGCUCAACCGUAAAAUUGCAGUUGAAACUGGGAGGCUGGAUUGUAGGAGAGGCGGGUGGAAUGCCUGGUGUAGCGGUGAAAUGCGU
rnacentral:rRNA from 1 species